GGGGCCUGUUGCACAAAAGUAGAAUUAAGACAUCCAGGCUAAAUGACUGAGCUGAGCUCAAUGAAGCCAAAACAAGUGCGUCCACGCUUAAUUGGUUGCACAAAGACGAAGCCAGGAUGAUCAGACACGGAUUCAUCAAGCCAGGUGAAACCAAUCCUGGAUAGGUGCGCGCUCACGGCUCACUCAACUAGACCCCGCCACCGAUCACAGAUUCACCGAUUCACCAUGGCAACUAGCGGCGUUCUUUUCCCCGUCAGAGGCACAAAUCCAUACGAGGAGGUAAAAGACAUAAUUAAGAAGAAAGGCAACACCGCCACAGUGGUAAAGCAGAGAGAAAAAGCGUGGCAAAGUAUUGCAGACCGCCUGAAUGCAUUAAAUAUGACCGGGCCAAAACGGACAUGGCAGCAGGUCAAAAUCAAAAUCUGCAGAAUGCAGUGAAAAAGAAUACCCAGAGACAAGGCACGGGUGGUGGGUCACCAAAAGCUGACCUCACCCCAGCAGAGGCCAGCUUUGGAGCUAAAUAAAGGCAGGCCUGUUGGAGGGGAUCCCUGGGGGAAAAGAGACAAGCAUAGGUCCCUCACAAGAUGCCACCCGCUUCAUACAAGUGUCUGGCAGCACUGUGUUACUGUUAAAGCCACCAGCACGAGCACCUGACGAUGCUGAUCCAAUGAGUACUCCAUCAAAGGCAUACUGUAGGCCUGGCAUGUCUUGUCUACUAGCUUCAAUAUGAAUCCGAUUAAAUGUGAUGGGGUCAAGGCCCCAUUUCAUCAGCACAUAACGGCGAUGAUGAUGAGGAGACCAUCUCGCUGGAUUCCAAAAGGCAUAAGGACCCAGAGUCAUUGGUGCACUGGACUGCACAAACAUAAGGAUAAAAUCCCCCUCAGGUGCCCAUGAGGCAGAUUUUGUAAAUAUGAAAUCUUUUUACAGCAUUAAUGUUCAGGUGAACAUAACUUUUUGAUCUUUUCCAUUGAACACUGGCAAAAUGGCCUGGCUCAGUCCAUGACUCCAGAAUCUUUUGGACCUCUGAAAUCUAUCAGCGCCUAUCACAAGACAGGGGGUAAGGCUGCCAGCCGUUUUUCCUGACACCUUUCACAGACCCCCAGGAAGCACAGCCGGCCUACAACUAUGCCCAUGCUAGGGCCAGAGUUGAAAUGACCUUUGGCCUCCUGAAGGCACGCUCUCACUGCCUUCACAAAUUAAGGGUCAGCCCUGUGAGGGCAUGUGACAUUACUGUGGCUUGUGGUGUCCUCCACAAUGUGGCCUGCCUGAGGAAGGAGAGGGCACCCAGAGUGCUGCCAGCCAUGGACUGGGACAAUCCGGAAAUCUUCCCUGAUGACAACAGUGGUCGGCUGCUGAGGGACCAAUAUGUGUUGAAUUAUUUUAGUCAGUAUGUGUGCUUUCACAUUUUUUUGAUGUUUGUGCUGUAUACUGUGUGUAUACUGUUUGUAAUACAAGCUUGCAGGGAGGCUACUGCAUCCGUUAAUUGUCUUGUUUUCAGUUGUCUGAAAUUGUCUGUUCAGUUAAUGUGUAUGAAUUUGUCCUGCAUUUAUUUCAGUGUGCAGACAUGCAGGGUGUGUUAUAUACAGACCUUUGAAUGUGUUUUUAUCCUUUGGUUGUAUAAUAUGCUUUGAUUCUGUGCUUUCCAUUUUGUAGAGUCACUGUGUGACUUCAGUUUCGAAAGGAGCUGAUGGUUUACCUGCUUUGUUUUGUCCUUAUUCAAUAAAGAAACAUAAUGUUACACUUUGUGCUUUUAUAUUUAUAUGAAAUGUGUAUGGUAUAAGGGCCACACCGAGGAAAGGAGAAAGUCAUACAUUUGAGGCUGGUUCUUUCUGUGGAAAGAUGCAUAUUGUUUUUACAGUCCUGAUACUUAUAACAAUUUGAUUAAGUAUUUCCUUGUUUCUGAAACCAUACUGAAGUACAAUUCCACGAAAUGCCCCACAAACUGUUAUUGUAACAACUGUGCUCCUCUAAAACAACAAGUUACAAUAUU